ACUUGUAGUUGAAGUACCAUUGCAACUCCAGACCCGGCAGAAGAUCCUACAGCAUGCAGAGAUAACACUGAGGGGAGGAAUGUGUGGUGCUCUGGCCACGUGCUUGCUGAAGACUUGCUCCUCUGCAAAAAGCAAGAAGACUUGCCAGAGAGCACCAGGUUUUUCCACUGCUGUGUUUACAAAGAUGUACUUUCUCAGCAGUACAAUUGCUUGCUGUUAAGAGCUUAGAGGUGAGGACCUAGAGGCACAGAAUAACAUGAAAAAUCCUGUGAUUUUCAGCCACAAAACACUGCAACAUUUUUCCAUCAGGAACAUUCAGAUUUCCGUCGCGUUGCUUAGAGUUGGAUGCUGUUUUGCACAGGAACAAAACUUUGAUUUCGAAUCCAGAACUGGCCAUUCUUAAUGUGUAAGCAGAUUGCUCUAUGGCACAUUGCUUCAAAUAUGAUUUGAGGAGAUUUGCUGUUCUUGUCCUUUGCAAAUUAGUAGCUUGGACUGUAAUACUCAUGCUGAGUUGAAAAGAUUCUCUAUCUGUGAAGGAAUUGCUAAUUUGUGAUAUUGAUUCAAACAGUGUGAAAAUAAUACAAAUAUAUUUGGCUUCUCAGUGCAUUCUUGAGGUUGGUGUGCUGCUACUGGAAGAUGAGCAUGGCCACUUGCCAAUCCGGCCCUUCAGUUUCACUUUACAAACGUAUGUGCAUCUUUGAUAUUGCAUGAUGCAAGGGAUUCCCUUCUAGUACUGUGAGCCUGGCUGAAGUGCACAUGGUAAGGGUGUGAUGGACAGCACAGGAGCUGGGAAGAAUAAGUCUUAUUAUGUAGGGCUUUUGGCUUGCUUAACCUGUAUGGUUGGUAGCUGAAAUACCUGUCUUAGGCCAGAACAACCUGUAUGACUUGUCCUUGAAUAUGCAUCUUGAAAUGUAGACAAAAAAACUGAAUCCUUUAAUGAAUGUAGGCUUUGAUCAUGCACUGUCAUCAUGCUCCCCACUAGAUGCCUGUGGCUGUGCUUUGCCGCUUCAAUGUGCGGUCCGCACUCCUCUGUUGUUGAGUGAUAAGGUCUGGAAUUGCCAGAAGGCCAGACAAUAUUGCCACAAUUCUACAUCACUAGCAGAUCGCUGCAAAAAGUAGUUCCUGAGCCAUUUGUUGGGCUGCUUGGUGCAGAAUGCUCACCUCAGAUGCUUUGAGAUGAGGUUAGAAAUUCUAACUUUCAAACUGUUUUUAGAUUGUAUCUUAGUUUUAUUCGAUCGCUUUUCUAGGUUUUUGAAUGAUGUUAAUAAGCAAUUCUGAGCAAAUAUUUUUUGAAGACUUGGGUUCUGUAAGUCUCCAUGUUUUCCAAGAGUUGGAGUAUGAAUACUGGAAGACUUUCUAUCCUAUGAUUAUUGCUGAAAGUUCCUUUAUUUAUUUAAUUAUCUUAUUAUUCAUGCAGUGAACCAGAGAGAGAAUUAGCAGGGAUGUGGUCCAGAUUUUCAAGUUUCGGCUCUUCCAUGGGAAGGUUGCUCAGUGUGAAGCUGUAUUAGCUUAUAGCUCAGCAUAAAGCCUUGAGUUCACUGUUGGUGUGUACUAUGUCCCAUAGGCUCUUCUGCAAAAUAAGAAGCUUGAGUUAAAACGUCGGUGUGCUGUGCUAUGAUGGGUGUAUGAGGGCUCGCUCAUACGAAUGUUUGAUCAAUAUUUUCCUUAUUGAGGUCAUCUAGGUGGUAACAUAUGGUUUAUUAACACAGAAAAAUAGAAAGCAACUCUUACGGAUGUUUCCCAGCGAUGUGUUGUGUGUCCUUAGCGUUUUCAGUUCAAAUCUAAGGCAUAAUAAUUCUCAUACAGCUCUGAAUUAGGCAUGGUGUUGGUCAAAGUGGAAGCAGAGCUGUGCGGUAAGUGCAAUUACCUGCAGAUGUGGCUGGCAGUCUGUGCGUUGAAACGCAUCUAUUUCUGUGCGUAUCGACGGAAACAUGCAUGAUUCAUGAGGAUGGGUCAGGGGAAAGAAUUAAGCAGCAAAGUAGAAAAUGAAAGGGAUAUGUUUAUAGCACGCUGAACCGGGAUGUGUAUAUACACAUGUACUUCCAAAUUGUGCAAUCUAUAUGUAUAAAACACCCUAGUCUUUCAUAAAUAUUUGUAUGCUUAAGCCUAUCAUUUUGGUUUAAAGUAUGUAAUCUACCACAACGAAUACGUUUUUAGACCUUGGCAGGCCUUGCCAAAUGAUUACUUUGACCAGCUGUUCUCACUACUAGAAGAGCUUUACAUUUAAUAAAUAAAUAAAAAUCACAGCCUGUUUCCUUGCUUGAGUAUCACUGGAAGACGUGGACAGUUGCUCUGCAAUUAGCUGCCUACUCAUUUUAAAGGUUAGAGUUGCAGUGAAAAUAAUGCAUUUGCUAUAUGAGUUUGUACUUCAAAAUCUAUCUUCUGCCUUCCUAAGUUUCUGGUACACAGUCUGUUUCUUGAGUAUUCUGAUUAUUUAUUUCCAUCCCUUUUAUUUAAGGGCUGACUCUAAAGCAGAAUGUUCAAUGGAACCCACUUUUGUGAUGAAAUGCAGUGCUGAUGUGCUGUGACCUCUUCUUGAUUUGUAUUUGUCAGUGAGAGACCAUGGGGGUGUUUUGGUUGUGGUUUCUUGCAAGUUUGUGGCUUUUGGAAACUUCCUUCCAUGAUAAGUUAACCCUUGAUUUUAAAUAUUAGCCCCAGCUGUGUUAGUGUUCAUUGAGAACACGAUGAGAACAUAAUUGGAAGUGUAGGGUUAACACUCCGUUUUCUAAGCUUCAGAUGAAGCUCUGUUGUGUUCUCAGUGACCAAGAACAAACCCAAAGUUUAAAAGGUUAAAACAAGUUUUGUUACAGCAGUCGUCGAUGUAUAAUCGCGUUGUGAAGUUUGUUUAUACGAACGUGCUUUGUUUAAGUGACUAAGUUGGAGAAGUCUCUCUACAGUAGAUCUGCCUUGGUAUAGGCACUUCAGGGAAAGGAAUAUUGGUAUGGCAACUUCCUAUUUCCAAAUACUUACCCUUGUCUUCCUGCUGAUACUGGUUUUUUUUGUUGUUGCUGGUUUUUUAUUUAUUAUUUCUGGUGUUCUCUGUGCUUGUGUUGGCACAAGUAUGACUUCAGGUAAAGAGAACAUCUUGCCUAUGGUAGCACUGAUAGCUUUGCUAACAGGGUGUGUGUGCCCUUCUUCUGGAUAGAAAAACACGCUGAUGCCCAUUUGAAGAGAUGGGAGGACCUGGAAGAUAAAUUCAGUAGUUGCUAGCUGUAAGUCCAGAAAGUAAACCUAGAGGGGAAAUGGCUUUGGCACGUUUUUCUACGAAGUAUCUUGUGCUAUAACACGGAUUUACUGUUAAUAUGUGGAUCUGCCUGACAUGUAAAGAGAUCCGGGAACUGUUUGGAUUUAGUUUGGUGCAUGUGAGUGUUGACUUGGCUCCCAUGUGCUUUUUUGCUGGUGGCAGUUGCAGGCACGUGUUUGCAGUGCAUUGCUGUGGGUUGAACAGUUACAGCUGAUGAAUGAAUUUUAGCUGAGCCUUUCACAAAGUGUGCUCUGUCCAGCUGUUGGCUGUUGCAGCAGCCUUCCUUGGUCACAGCACCCACACCACACUGUUAGCUGCAUGCUGGUUGUUUCACAUACCAGAUGCACAUCUCAUCCCAUGUCUCAUUCUCACCGUGGAGAGGUAGAGAAGCAGUCAGACCCGGAGCUUGCGUGCUCAGCAGAGAGCUCUGCAGAGAUGUGGGUUGGCACUGUUGCAUCCUGCUGGCUCCUUGCAGCUGUGUGUGGAGAGGACAGCUCUGUGCCCAUGGAUAUGUCACAUCUGAGCUGGUAUCUUGGAGGGGCUGAGGAGCAGUCGAUCCAAUCCAGUCAUUAUUUAUCAUCACGCUUCUUUUUCUCUGCAUGAAUGACAUUAUGUCAAGCAUACAAUGAAUGCAUCCAUCCUGUUGGCUCAGGCAGAAAUAAAAACAAUACAAAACCUGUCCUAGCUGAGGCUUGUUCCCUGCAGUAUGAAGACCUCCUUGCCCCACCUGUGACAAAUCCCCCUCACCUGUACUCAAUGAGGAUAGGAAUGUUCAGAUGGAGGUGCUGUUCUUUUGGUAACUAACUAACACCAGUUAGCUGGCUGUGGGAUCGAACCAGACCUAGAAGGGCUGAAUUACGAAUUUGAAACGCUUUCAACGUUCACCUUUGCAUGGCAGUGACUUUAAGCAGGUUUUUUACUUGGACAUUCUCAUGUAUGCAGAGAGGUACCAUGAAUCCUUUGGGCUGUGAAAUAAACCUUUGCUGUACCUUGAACAAAGUAUGAUUUCUCUCCCCCCAUUUAACAUCAGAUAAUUAACAGGUCCCAGAUUUGCCUGGGUGGGUUGGAAGCCGUGUGAGACUGGGACCUCUGAGAGCUCCCCAGUGGAGAACAUCUGCAGUGAGAGCAAAUGUCCUUUGUGCCUGCUGUGAUGGACAGUUUGCAGCUGAGCAUCGCAUCCAUGAGCAAGGAUGGAUGUGGCCGAGAGCUGCUGCGAUGUGUGUGCCAGCCAGCCAGCUCCAGCUCGUUCUUCUCCAACCCUGGUCGCUGCUGCUUGAUAAUUGUGAUUGGUUCCAAGAUGUUAAAAGGCUGUACCUCUAGCAGUAGAGCUCUGAACUUGAGGCUUGAACACAUCACCUUCAGCUGGGAGUUUUUUUCUUUAUCACCUGGAUGAUGUUUGGCUUUGUCAUCUUCCUCCCUCAACUAGGUGUGCUCAAAACUCUAGAAUUAAUAGUGUAUUGAGCUAACUUUCCAUACGAUGGCCAAUAGGAAACACAGCAUCUCAGCUGGAUGUGAAUAUUUCAGCAAAUACCAAUUUAAGGCACUCCAGGAAUCUUUUGGUAUCCUUCCAGUUCAAAACAUUUUUAUCUAAUCUGCUUUAAAAGGAGCAGUUUCUUAACAUAAUGAUUUUUUAAUAGAAAAUCUAGGUAGAAACACUUGUGCAGGGACUCCUUGCUGUCCUUUGACUCUGUUAUUGAUUUAUUUAUCAACAAAAUGCAUCUAGCACAUCUUGUCUUUGCUUUUGUGUCAUACGUUUGUGUGCUCCCAUCUCUUCCUGGCUUCGUACCACCACCAGUACCCUUUGCAUGGAAAGCUGGCCGUGUUAGUGCUGGUCCCAGCCUGAACCUCUGUGAGGAGUUGGAGAGGAGAAGGCAAUGGCCAUGUAUGUAGCAGUGUGCCAUUCUUUAGCUGUAAACCCACAGCUUGGGUGCGCUGGGGAAAAAAAGGCUCUUUGCAGCAAGCUGAGACAAGGCGCCAGCCGGAUCCAACCUGCCAGAAGCAAGCUCUGACUGCUUUCACAAAUGGAAAUCAGGUUUGAGAAUCCAUGUCUGCUUUGUUGGUCUGAAGGAUCCCAAAAGCUUUAAUUGCCAAAGGUGAGAGUGGGUAGUGAGGCUGAUAAGCAAAUGGCAACUGGCAGCUUGCAGAAUGGCACGGACAGCUUGCAGUAUCCGUCUCCUUAGUUCUGUUUGGACACUUCCCUGGUUUCUCUGGCGAAGAACAGAGAUGUGGCUGCAGAGGAUGUUUUAGUCUUCAGCUUCCUGGAGUUGUUCAUGCCAUGCCAUGCAGAGUAUAAAAUCUGAGUGGUAGCAUCAUAUUGUCCUGAGAACAAAUAGGUGAUGAAGGAGCUGAUGCUUGAUUGCCAUGUAUGUGUCCUGUUAGGCAUGAGGAAUUGGUUUCUCACCUCAAGUUGGGGGUCUUCUGGUGUCCCAGCAUGUCCUUCACUCAGGCUUGGGGGGGGGGGGCUUGAGUUUAAACACCCCAAAGUAGCUCUCUUUGGGAGCAACUUCUGAUGUUCUGUCUUGCUGUGAUAUGUAUGCUUUUUAGAAGCCAAUUCUGAAUAAGCUUUGCUCUGAUCGUUUUUAGGCAAAAUGGAAUAUGUAUGUGAGAGAACACGUGACUUAACUCUUUAGAGCUUCACGUGAACUUCCUGUCCUAAUCUAAUGCAAAAAGCAGGGGAGGUGGGAAUCAAGAUGCGGGUGUGUGUGACGACUUGUGCUCCUGUCUUGUAGCACCUUAACGCAUCACUUAUUUUUGGGAAUCCACCAAUGUUUCUGAAUAGCAUGGUUUUCCCAAAUGGGAGGCUUAGAAGAGAACAUGGGAGCAGAGGUUUCUGCUAGGCCACGGCUGCUGCUCCAGGUAAUCUGGAAUGCUCUAACCCAGCUCUCCCAGAACAAUGCAGUGGUUUUCAUCUCCAUGAUAAAUACUGAGAGGGCAUUAUGGAAUGUAGUUUAGGGAGAAAUAAGAUGCAUUGAACAUACUGGGUGUAUUGAACAUACAGCUUAAGCUUCAUUCAGUCACUUCUGCCUUUUUCUCCUUUGUUUACUUGAACUUUUCUCCUUCAGAUUUUUCAUAAAUAAAGAUGACGCAAUCAUGUAA